AUGCAAGUCGAGGGGCAGCAUGAGAGAACUUCGGUUUUUUCGAUGGCGACCGGCGAAUGGGUGAGUAACACGUAUCCAACCUGCCCGUUACUGGGGGAUAGCCCUCCGAAAGGAGAAUUAAUACCCCAUGUGUGCGACAGAGACAUCUCUAUUGCAUGAAAGGUUACGGUAACGGAUGGGGAUGCGUCUGAUUAGAUAGUAGGCGGGGUAACGGCCCACCUAGUCGACGAUCAGUAGGGGUUCUGAGAGGAAGGUCCCCCACAUUGGAACUGAGACACGGUCCAAACUCCUACGGGAGGCAGCAGUGAGGAAUAUUGGUCAAUGGGCGAGAGCCUGAACCAGCCAAGUAGCGUGAAGGAUGACGGCCCUAUGGGUUGUAAACUUCUUUUAUGCGGGAAUAAAGUGCGCCACGUGUGGCGCUUUGCAUGUACCGCAAGAAAAAGCACCGGCUAAUUCCGUGCCAGCAGCCGCGGUAAUACGGAAGGUGUGAGCGUUAUCCGGAUUCAUUGGGUUUAAAGGGAGCGUANGCGGAGUGCCAAGUCAGCUGUGAAAUCCUGCGGCUCAACCGUGGAACUGCAGUUGAAACUGGCGC
rnacentral:rRNA from 1 species